GCGGAGGGAUCAUUGCUGGAACGCGCUUCGGCGCACCCAGAAACCCUUUGUGAACUUAUACCUUACUGUUGCCUCGGCGCAGGCCGGCCCCUCCACCGGGGCCCCUCGGAGACGAGGAGCAGCCCGCCGGCGGCCAACCAAACUCUUGUUUCUUAGUGAAUCUCUGAGUAAAAAACAUAAAUGAAUCAAAACUUUCAACAACGGAUCUCUUGGUUCUGGCAUCGAUGAAGAACGCAGCGAAAUGCGAUAAGUAAUGUGAAUUGCAGAAUUCAGUGAAUCAUCGAAUCUUUGAACGCACAUUGCGCCCUCUGGUAUUCCGGAGGGCAUGCCUGUUCGAGCGUCAUUUCAACCCUCAAGCCUGGCUUGGUGUUGGGGCACUGCUUCGAGAGGAGCAGGCCCUGAAAUCUAGUGGCGAGCUCGCCAGGACCCCGAGCGUAGUAGUUAUAUCUCGUUCUGGAAGGCCCUGGCGGUGCCCUGCCGUUAAACCCCCAACUUCUGAAAUUUUGACCUCGGAUCAGGUAGGAAUACCCGCUGAACUUAAGCAUA
rnacentral:rRNA from 1 species